rnacentral:rRNA from 1 species
GAUGAACGCUGGCGGCAUGCCUAAGACAUGCAAGUCGAACGAGAUGUACCAAUGAAGAUUGAGUGCUUGCACAAAGUUGGAUUUGGAUUUGCAUCUAGUGGCAGACGGGGUGAGUAACACGUGGGUAACCUACCCUGAAGACUGGGAUAACAGUUAGAAAUGACUGCUAAUACCGGAUGAUUCAUGAGAAGAUAACUUUUCAUGCUAAAAGGAGCGUUUGCGUUCACUUCAGGAUGGGCUUGCGGUGUAUUAGCUAGUUGGUGGGGUAAUGGCUCACCAAGGCAACGAUGCAUAUCCGAGCUGAGAGGCUGAUCGGACACACUGGGACUGAGACACGGCCCAGACUCCUACGGAGACAGCAGUUAGGAAUAUUCGUCAAUGGAGGAAACUCUGAACGAGCAAUGCCGCGUGAGUGAUGAAGGUCUUAUGAUUGUAAAACUCUGUUGUAAAGGAAGAACAACUAUC